GUGGUGAUUGCCUCCGGGCAACACUGCGCACAUGUAUAAACCCCACAGGCGUAGACAACUCGAACAAGUUGCUAAGGGAUUACGGGUUCGGCAUUGGCGCAAGCCUUCGUCGGGCCCCUCCAUCCCGGGGUGUCCCGCAUCGGGCUGUGUACGCUUCCUUGCGGAGCGUGCGCUUUCCGAGUGGGCAUCCCUCGAGUGCGUAGGAUGCGACCCGAAAGAUGGUGAACUAUGCCUGAUCAGGCCGAAGUCAGGGGAAACCCUGAUGGAGGGCCGAAGCAAUUCUGACGUGCAAAUCGAUUGUCAGAGUUGGGCAUAGGGGCGAAAGACCAAUC
rnacentral:rRNA from 1 species